UACGAAGGGGGCUAGCGUUGCUCGGAAUCACUGGGCGUAAAGCGCACGUAGGCGGACUCUUAAGUCGGGGGUGAAAUCCUGGAGCUCAACCACAGACUGCCUUCGAUACUGGGAGUCUUGAGUUCGGGAGAGGUGAGUGGAACUGCGAGUGUAGAGGUGAAAUUCGUAGAUAUUCGCAAGAACACCAGUGGCGAAGGCGGCUCACUGGCCCGAUACUGACGCUGAGGUGCGAAAGCGUGGGGAGCAAACAGG
rnacentral:rRNA from 1 species